GAUGACAAAAAUCAAAAUUUAGAUGAGUGGAAAAAAUUAUACCGGAUGAGUUGGAAAAUAGAUCUGGUCCAUCAAAUACUAACUCUUCGGUUUCUCGAUGGACAACAUCUGAUCUGGCCAUCAACUUCGUUGGGAUUUCAUACUGGAUAGAACAUUCACGUCGUCUGCCAUCAACUUCGUUGGGAUCUCAUACUGGGUAGAACGAUUCACCGUUUGUUCUCUGGGCUCGCCGGCUAUGACUGCUCCAUCGGGAUUG
rnacentral:lncRNA from 1 species